rnacentral:rRNA from 1 species
GUUGAGCUUGACUCUAGUCCGACGUUGUGAAAUGACUUAUGAGGUGUAGCAUAAGUGGGAGCUUCGGCGACAAUGAAAUACCACUACUCGUAAUGUUGUUUUACUUAUUCCGUGACGUAGCAUCCAGUUCCCUCGCGGGCCCUGGUUCUAGAUUGAAGCUGUUUCGUGCAGUGAGCUACGCGGGAGACAACGUCAGGUGGGGAGUUUGGCUGGGG